UAAACCACGUUGAAAGAACAAAUGUGAGGCGCAUCAGGCUGCGUUAAAAGUGCCCUGGAUUUACCGACUCUGUUGGAAAAAUGUUUCUCAACGACGCGAAGUCAUCAGGCAAAAUCCUUAGCUCUCCUUUUGCAAAGUAAACAAUCUCCCCACGUAAAUCACACUCACAGCAUAGGGAUUAUGAAGUAUAAAUAGAAUUUCAUGGUGUUUGCAGUGGCUCUGAAAUACCGGUGUACAAAAGUAGGCUGGCACGCAGUGCCCUUCCGUUUAGCAGUUGGAAGUGAGACCAGCAGGGGUGGUAGGUAUUGGAAUCAGGUCUGGACAGCAGAGCUUGUACAGCAGGCGUCUUGUGUUUAGGAUCUGAAACGCAGUGAGCCGAGCCACGCGCCCUGCCCAGGGUGACGCUCACCCUCUGCCGUCACAGGUCUUGUCGCCAGAGAGGGCGCCGCAGCUGCUCACAGUCACCUUCAGGAUGAAGGCGACACUGGCGCGGUUUCACGCGAAGGGCAGGCUGUUGGCUUGGCCCUGGGAAGUGCAGGCCUGGUGUGGCAGCUCCAAUGCCUGGCCAGAAAUGCAACUGCGUUUUGCAUGAAAAGGAUUUUUAUCAAAGCGCAUUCAUGGAACAGUGUUACUCUGAUGGUUGUUUGGCUUCUGAUUUCAGCCUUUUUCAUUCACUUCAAAGACGUUUUUUAAAAAUGUGCCUGGACUUUGUACCCAGAGGCAGACAAGCCGCAGAGACCAGCUCUGCAAGAGGCACCCGCGUGGUGCCAGGCACGUGGAGGUGCUCGGUCCUGUAGCCGUUCCUCUGUGGGAGACGAGGGCAGCUGUGCCGUGGUCUCUAGACUCGGUGCCAGGCUGACCUUCCAUUUCAGACAAGUGUCAGUUUCACCCCUGACGUGUCGUGGGUGGAGGUGACAUCCACGCGCUUGCUGGACUCCACGAGCGCGUCUCUCCGAAGCGUGGGCCCGGCCCCCGCCUUGGUCCAGACGCCCCCCGUUCUUGUUCCCUUCCAUCCUUGCUCGCCGUCGCCCGGUCUGGCCUCUGCCCCGGGCCUGCCCUGGCGGGGCUGCUGGCCCAGGCCUUCCUUCCUCGGUACCCGCGUAGCAGUUGGCCCGUGGGCAGACCCUUCAACUUAGAGGUCCGUCUCGGUUUCCGUGGCAGCGCAGGCCGGUUUCUCCCCUCCUCCGAAGGUCCUUCCUCCUCCGUGCGACGCGGCCGUGUCUGUCCUCAGCUUCCUCCUGGGUCCGCGCGGUGCUCUGGGCGGCCGCACCCACCUCUAGACGGCAGCCGCCAGGCACGUUCCUGCCGCCCGCGCCCAGGCGGCUUCUCUGGCGGCAAGGGCUCGAGGUCCUCUCCACACCCAGACCCGUGUUCACAUCCACACCCGGCUGACGUGCAGACGCCUCAAGCUCACGCGUUCACGACGGCGCUCACGGCCCCACCGGGCCCACGCGCUCUCCCCUCGGCGUCCUGGGCCCUCGUCUGCCGCCUCUUCCUCUGGCCCAGAGCUCCCUGCGUACAGUUCCAUUAAAAGGCUUGUCUUUGUUCUCGGUCUUAUCCGUGAGACUCUCUUUUUGUCAUUGUUUCCUUAAAAUGCAGCAUGAUGCCUAUGACAGAAGCAACGGUUAAGUGACCUCAGAGUGUGGGAACGCUGGGGAGUGUCUCAUGCCAGCUGGGUUGGAUUCAGUUUAAAUUGAAGGACCCAGAAGACCCCGUGGACGUGCGAAGUCACGGUUAAGUCCAGUUCGCAAACUCUUUGUAAAGAAAUGGCACCCACGUCUUUUUACGUGUAUUUGGCCUUCGCUUUGAUUGAAGCAUGUGGGGGGACUCUGGUGACUUCAGGGCUUCCAGGUCCCUUUCUGCCAUCAUGUCAGUGACACGUGCUCUGACCUCAAGGCAAGUAGUUGAGCCUGCCACCCAAUCCCGUCACCCACUGUCUUCCAGCUCCACGUGGCACUGGAUAGUUCAUGUUCAUUUACUUAGAGUUGAGUACUAAAUGCAUUCAAGUGUGACCGCUUUGAACGACAGUCUGUGGUCUGGGUCUUCCCUUCUGGAUGUAAACUUCAGGGGAGCCCCGUCCUGUCUGCUUCACUGCUGGGUCUCGGGCACUCAGCUUGGUGCUGAAGCCACAGGCGUGUAGGAGUUCUGGAAAAACGCAGUGAGUGAAUAAUCAAUUGCUGUAUCAGUUAAUAAAAACCACAGGCACCAAGUCACCGAACAUGGGCCCUGGGAGCCCAGUCUGGGCACGGCAGGCCCUUAGACGGCAGGGCUGUUGCCAUGGCAGCCUCCUUUGGCACCUCUGUGCCCGCCGCUGGGUGAGACUUCUCUGACGUCACCUCCUCGAACCCCUGUGACAGCCUCGAGGGUCUGCACUGUAAUUCUCCUCACUUAUGGGGAGGAGCCCGGGGCUCCGGGAGACUAAGGGCCAGCACCAGUGGCGACAGAACCCAGACAGGUUCCCCAGCCUGCAGGGGCUCUCGGGAGGAUUUCAAGUCUCUCCUGUGGUCGAAGACAGGAUGCUGGGGCUGCCAGGGGCGGAGUGGAGGGGACGGAGGCAGCAGGGACAGGUGGCGGGACGGCUGCCCAGAGGCAGAGGGGCUGAGGCCCUGAGACGACGCGGGGGACAGCUGCGUGACUUGGCCGUCUGUGAGCUGGCCUCCCUCGUGUGUCCUCACUCCUAAGGUCUGGCAGAGGCUUCCCACAGCCACGUCCUCGAGCCUGCGGCUCCUGCAAGAGGCGGGGAGGCCUGAGGUCUGCGCGGCAGGGGUUUGGGCUGUUGGUGGUUAACGAGAGGGUUCUACGUGUGGAGACACAUCAGAGUCACACCGCCUCCUUCCAUCAUCUUCCGCCUUGGGGACACAAUCCCGUUUUCACUGAGGUUGCAGAGGUAGCAUUUCUAGUCUUACUCCUCUCCCAAGAAACCAAGGCAGAGGUGGGGGGGAGUAUUUUCAAAGAAUUUUGUUGGUAAAUUUUUUGUAAAGCUGCGCUACUCGUUCAGCGACUUCUUUGUCCCUUGGCGACUCACUCCCUCUGCACAGGCAUCUCUGAGAAGGAGCUGAGCCCUGUCCAGGGACCGCGUCAUGUGUUCGCAGCCGUUCAGGUCUUGGGGCGGGGGUUGGGGGGAACACAGGUGACAGAGGACAGUUCCUCUCUGCUCUGAGGAGCCCCACCGCCUUGGAGCCCCGGGUCUUUCUGGAAGAAACCUCUGAGGCUCUGCUCCACCUGAGCCGCUCCCGGCCCCUCGACGUGAAUCAGGGCAAAAACUCCUGCCCGCUAAGAGCCCUUCCUGUGACGCGGCUCGCAGGGCACACGCUGGGCAAGACCCCCUGAGGCAGACCCUGCCCUCUGCGUGGCUUCACCUUGUUCAGGCAGCCAGCUGGCUGAAGGGAAAUGCGAGCAGCAAAGAAUGGCCUUCAAAGGGAGGCUCCCAGUUCAAUGAAAGAGUGUGUCUCCCCUAUGAUGGGAGGCGCUGCAUCACAAGUGGGUGUUUUGUGCCCAGUUGAAUUAAAAAAAAAAUAGGUUGGUCUUAAAAGCUGUUAAUGAUAGAACACAUGGCACAAAUUAUAUGGUAAACUCCAAACAACUCUGAAAUUACAAACAUUGCUUAGUCAGGGCUUCUCCUUUAAUGAUGCCCUGAUGUGGCUGGCAGGGCCCAGUGAUUUCAGCCAGUGUUAUUUUACUUGAAAGGAGAAAUUUCUUUUCCCAAAAAAGUCUCUCUGAGAAAAGCUGUCUUCCUGGCCGACGUCAUGAAACGUCUUGCAUGUGGCCAGGGCCAGAGAGCAGGAGGCAGGCCGGAGGUUAGGAAGCGAGGGUCGAGUGAUGAGAAGACGCUGCGGCUGGUCCUGACACGGGCAGGUGCUGACCCAGUCGGGCGCUGUGACUGGGGCCCGUCAGGGCCCUGAGGCCGCUCUGAGACCUGCGCAGAGGAGGGUCUGGGGUUUGCUUCUCGGAGCAGCUGCCCAGGGUGGGGAGCAGAGAGAUGUCUCUUCAGUGGUGAGAGUAUUUAUAGCAUUUAUAACUGUCUUUUCUUAAGCACUUACUAUAGGCCAGUCACUUGUCCAAAUACUUUAUGUCCGAUAUCUUAUUUAAUAUUAACGACCUUUGGGAGCGGUACUGUAUUGCUUUAGUACAGACGGUAACUGGGGCUCAGAGAGGCUAAACUCUGCCCAGGGUCACAGAGCGCGUACCAGGAUGCUAGCCCAGCGGUGGGCCUUCUUCCCUGGGGCGUCCCUAGGAAACUGUGUGUAACGGUGUCUUUUGAGCAGCAAGUGCCGAGGAAGGGCCAGCCAUGGGCUCUGGGGACAGAAGGGCAGACCCGUGGCCCCUGUCGGUAGUCCUCAGCAGAGGUUUUGUCGGCGCUCGCAUCCCAGUCUCAGUCCUGGAGAACCAGCCGGCACCCAGAGAGGAAGACCGGCGCCCUUUGGUCGCCACGGUGAGAGCCUCUUAGAGAGGCCUCCUCUUGCUCCCAAGUCUCCACUUCCCGGAGCCUGAUUUCACCAGAGUCCCCUCCCCUCCGGUCUCGUGGCGGGUCCUCCUUCCGAUUAUGUUUCUCGGGAGGCUCGUGGGCCUGUAGGGUAGGCGGCUGGUUAGCAGAGGGAAGGCGACAGGUGUUGGUUUGAUCCAGCACAGCCCUGCUGGGACCAGAUCCAUAAACAAAAACGCUCGGGGUGUGAAAAACGAACUUGCGAUGCAAUAUUAUUUUCUAACUCCAGACCAGAAGCGGGAUGGGCGGCUCUCUGACAGCCCCCCCUGCCACGUGGGGUGCUCGGUCCAGACGGUCCAUGACCGGCGAGUCGCAUCGCGGGCCGGGCUCCCUGAGUCUCCGCACUCGCUCAGCCUGGGCUCUGCCAGGCGCUGCGGGAUUCGGGUGAGAAGCAGUCUGGGCCUCGGUGGGGGCCCCAGAGCCUGAGGACUAACCGCACAAACCAAAAAUCACAGUGAAAUGUGCAACGUACUGUGGGAAACCCGCGACGGCCGUGCUGAAGCAGGGCAGCCACACGGGCCACGGGAGGUGGCGUCGGGAUGACCGUCGUGUUGGCCUCGGGACACAGUGAUGCUCCGGGAGCAGCAGGGCUCGUGUGGGGUCGGGAUUUCUGAUUCGUGUCUCACUCUCAGCGGCUGUCUGGGGCGUGCUGAAAAGCGAGAGAAGUCGAGGUUGACAGCACACCCAGGAUUCGGCCCCAUUUGGGUGUUAGUGAGGGGAGUUGGCAUCACAGAGCCCCUCCCUGGCGUGUGGCAUCCGGGGAACCUCCGCCUCAACCGCCAUGAGGGGCCAGACCCCACACUGGGCAACGUCCAAGGCUUCCUUCAGUGGCAUCGCCUCCUGCGCUGGCCCAGGGGUGGCUGUUCGCUGUCUGUCUGAGGAUCAUUUGUGAGAAGCACGGACAGGUUGCAGAUCUGGCUCCCACUUCUGAGUCGGUCCCGUGGCCCAAUAGCAGAGCGAGAAGCUGGGCGGGUGCCUGCCGAGCCCGAGGCCCCGUCUGAGAAGGGGCGAAUGAGCAGGCGCUUCAGAGCAAGAGUACCUUGGAGCUUUAAGGUGUUACACCGCGGGGUCGAUAUUCAGCAUCUCAGCUAGUGCUGGCCGUGUGUGCCCCCGGGAGCCUUUGGUACAUGAUAUCCCACUCAGGAGACCCAGGGUGGCAGGCCGGGCUUUAGAAGGUGCUUUGGAAAAGCCCGGUGGGUUCAGGGGCUCUGAAAUGUAAGCUGCUUCUGUCUGUAUCAUAUUUCAGCAGGUUCCAGAACAGCAGUCGUUGCAGUCAUUGGUCUGUUCCUGCUAUCUAUCUUUAUUUAUUUAUUGUUGCUUUUUAGGGCCGUACUGGCAACAUAUGGAGGUUCCCAAGCUAAGGGUGGAAUUGGAGCUGCAGCUGCCAGCCUACACCACAGCUCACAGCAACACAGGAUCCUUAACCCCCUGAGCAAGGCCAGGGAUCGAACCCGCAACCUCAUGGAUACUAGUCUAUUACCCACCAAGUCACAAUGGGAACGCCCUGUGCUAUUUAGAAGCAUCAUCUUUGAGAAAAGAUGCUGUGAUCAUCGCCAAUAAUAAUUUAUAGUUUGGACUUGUGACUUUUUCCUCUUUCUGCUUAAGAACUUUAAAAAAGCCUUUCUGGAGAAUUUUUUUUUUUCCUUUUGAAUAUGAGAAUUGUGGCUCCAAACUCAAUCCAAACCAAAUUUCCAGUGUGGAAUUAUAACUCCCACCUCUGAAUGGAACCGUGGAGUCCCGCAGCCAGAGUGGCAAUUGGCAGUUGUACCCAGUCUCCGAGGACACGCCGUGGGAUGCCAGCCAAGAAAAAGAGCGGGCAAGGAGCACGCGGGGAAAUGCUAAAACCAGCUGCACAGAGCUGGGUCUUAGUGCUGCUGCUGCUACAACAGGCUCCUUCUCCUUCGGUCACCAGCGUCCGUCCUGUCGCCCCGUGGCUGCUCCGAGCUGGAGCAGCAGGAGUCCUCCCUCCCCGUGUUGAUGCCCGUGGCUCAGUGCCGGGAACAGCAGGGCCGGGGCUGGCCUGGCUCCGUCAUUAGCACCCUUUGCAGCAGGCCUCUUGUCCUCUCUGAGCCCAGAGCAUCACCUGUGACGUGGACGUCCCAGCCAUGUCCGAGGUCACGGCGAGGAAACCCGCCUGCAGUGUGUGUCGCGUUAUUUCAGGCGUUCCGCACUGGCAGGAGAGACCAGGCCCCAGACACUCAGACGCCGGGGGCUGGGGGCCGGGAACACGGUUGUCCCGGAGCCUGCGUCACGCCCUGGCUUCCAUUCCUCCUUCCCUUGGCCAGGUCUGGGGCUGGGGAGAACUAUCUACAGUGGGGCUUCACGUGCUGCUUCUGCUGUGGUCUGGGCCCCGCCCGCCUCCCGCGGGAGCCCCGGCCCACCUGCGGUCCUGGGUGUGGGCCGACUCCUCCGGCUCCGGAGGGUCCACAGGCUCAGGGGUUGGUUGUUAUGUUCAAGCAAGAGUCGUGCUUGUUCCCUUUGAACUUCCCUUCUUCUCUGCAACAGGAAAAUGGGCUUAAGCACUCAGACAAGGGGUGUCUCAAGGCUGGCCCCAGUGAGCUUUAAGUGGAAAGCAGAGAUAGGUGAAAAAACGCAGAUGGAAAGUCAUCCGACAGUGGCAGAAUUAUUCAGUAGGUGAGGUAACACUGAGAAAAGAUUUCAGUUUAGAAGGUGAGAGGUAAGUGCAGCACGGACGAGCCACGUGUCCUUCCAUCUGAGUGUGGAAGAUUCGGGUCUCCCGUCGCAGCUGCGCUGCAACCCCGUCCUUGGGUUUCUUGGCUUAUUGUCCCAGUGAGGGGCCCUUCCUCCCGUCCUCAUGGGGCGUGGUCGGCAGCAGCUGCGCCGGGAAAUAAGUGGCUGCGAGUUCUGUUGCCCGCCCUUGGCUCUGGGCUGCUUCUUGCCCCUUUCUCCCCAAAGGCAUUUGUGCCUGACGUGUGGGGAGGCCUCCAGGGAGCAGGUACCACUAGAAGGGGCCCUCGUGUUUCCUUGGCAAUGAUUUUCUACAUUUUUUCCAUGUCUUAAUUCCCUCUGCAUAGACCAGUUUUCUUUGGUAACAGAGAAUGCAUUUCUCUUUAAGUUUGUAAAAGGAGCUACAUGAAAUUCUCCAGACACAUGUUUAAAAUGUGUGGUCAAACUGGCAUCUGUCCUUGGCCAUGGCCAGUGGUGGAGAAUUUUUAAGUUUGUCUGAUGACACCUCAAAGAGAAUUUUUUUUUUUUAAUGGAACAUCAGGCCCUCAAUUCUGAAUUGUUCCCACAUUUCAGAUCUCACCAGUGGACCUUUCAACUUUAUGCUGUUUUUGUUGUUAAUGAAAAGCUCCAUUAUUCAUUUAUGAAGCCUGGUUCUUUUUAGUGUUUUGGCUUGAGAGAAGGAUUUGAUUUGGAAAGUUAACCUGUGGAAUAAAUCACAUCUCACGUGAAACCGUUUAGAGACAAAUGGGCUUUUAUAACAUGGACCGUGAGAUCAAGUUCGGUUUCUCCAAGGAGUUGCCAUAGUCAGUAGACUCCAAAGGCCUCUACUGUUAGAGGGAAAUUUAAGCUACGGAAAACUUGCUCUUCCAAACAAGAAGAAAGCAUUUCCCCUCGUCGCCUGGAGUCCUCUGCUCUGUUGCUCUAGGGUGUCAGUCCCUGCUGCAGGUGCCGAGGCAGGUCAAGAUGGAAAGGCCAGCUCAGAUUCACCACCACCGAAGUGCCCGAAGCGACGAGAAAGUAUCCCCCACCUUGUAAAUUCGGCUUCACUCCACUUUGAUUUUGCAAAAGAUCUGCAUUAGUACCUGUUUUCACGAACCAAAAGAAAUCCGGGAGGACUUUCACUUUUACAGGAGAAGGGGAGAAGCAGAGCUGGCGUUCAGGGCUGGCUCUGCGGUUAGUCACUAUACCUAUACCGUCAGCGCCACCCCAGGCAGCCCGGUGGCCCGGGCAGUCUCCUUUCCCGGGGGCCAGCCUUGGUGUCAAGCCCCAGAGCUCCAAGCAGCGUCCGUGAGCAUCCGGUUCUCUCUUCAUCGGCGUGAUACGUCCAGGCAGUACGGCACGGCCUCAGGGUUUUACAUGCGCACAUAUGGUCCUCCUAGUUAAUUUGAAAACUGACUCUGGCUGCAGCCGGGACAACGUGGGAUCCUCAACCUGUUGCGCACUGCGAGAAGGUCCUCGUUUUCGUUCAACGUCUUUGUCUCCUUUUUGUAUUGGGGUAAAAAUUAGAAUGUGUUGGUAUAUAUUCCUUCCUUGUCGGUUUUCUGAAAGAGUUGGUGCAGAAUUGGCAUUAUUUCUUCCUUAAAUAUUUGGCACAAUUUACAAGUGAAGCCAUCUGGGCUUGGUGAUUGUUUUGUGGGAAGGUUUUAACUACAAAAUCAACUUACUAAGCAAAGGGAUAAUCAAGUUAUCUAUUUCUUCUUGAGUAAAAGCUUUGGUAGUUUUGUGUCUGAACCAGUCUGCCCAUUUCGUCUAAGUAGAUGGUUUAUUGGCAUAGGGUGGUCAUGACGUAACCUGAAUAUACUUUUUUAACAUCUGAUGUCACCUCCCUCCCCCUUGAUGUUGGUAUAUGUGUCUUCUUUAUUUUUUUCCAGAAUGGUCCAGCUCUACGUUUAUACUUUUUAUAGAUCCUCUCAAAGAACCAGUGCCUUGUUUAAUUGCUUUUUCUCCAUUUUUUGCUAUUCUGUAUUUUAUUGAUUUCUGCACCAAUCUUUAUUUUUUAUUUCUUCCACAAUUGCCUUGAGUUUGCUCUUCUUUUUCUAGUUUCUUAGGUGGAAGCUGAGGUCAUUGAUUGGAGACUUCUUUUCUAAUAGAAACAUUUAAUACUGUAAAUUUCUCCCUGAGCACUUCUGUAACAGCAUCCUACCAAUUUUGAUAUGCUGUGUUUCCAUUUUCCUUCCAUUCGAAAUAUUUUCUAAUUCUCUUUGGGUUAUUUGACCCCUAGGUUAUUUUGACGUAUGUUAUUUAGUUUCCACGUAUUUGGGGAAUUUUCAGAUCUCUUUCUGUUGCUGAUAUCUUUACACACGUGCGCUGAUCUGCAUUCAGCCGAAUGUGGUGCUCUGUGCACCUGUUCUCUGUGGCCCUUUGUUUCAUGAACGGUCGCUGCUUUGCUCUCCCCAGCUCCCGGCUGCGUCUCUUUAACUCGGCACGUUUCAGGUGCCUCUCAGGCUUCCCCUCCCUGUUUCACCCCCCCCGCCCCCGGUGACUUUCAGCGUUGAGUAAUUGUAGGGCUCACUUGUUUUUUUCUCCCAUCUUUCAGAGACCACCGUCCUUCACUGGCUGAUGCCUCGUGUCUUGAAAACUUUGUUUUAUACAUUCUGUUGGUUUUCUGGUUUCAGACUGGGGAGUAAUUCUAACUCCCGUGACUUCGUCGUGCCUCGAAGUAGAAGUCUAGACAUCUGGAUUUGGACAUCUGGAUUCAUCCCUUGCUGUAUCCUCUAGGUUCUUUAAGGACACCGUCAAAGAUGGUGACCGACGCAGACCCUUGUAAAACGUCACAAGACUGGCAUACUUGUAGGUGAUAAGGACGGAGAAAUAAAACAUAGGAUCUCAGCCCGGCCUUACAGGCGUAAGUAUCAGCCUUGCUCUGGCUGGAGCCGGCCCACAUUAGAGAGAGAGAUGGGUCAGGAGGAAAAUCCCGAAGCUUGGAUGCUCUGCUCACCUGCCACGUUCAUCGUUCCGUGGGAGCUGAAUGAGCAGGCUCCCCGCCCCGCCCUUGCUGUACGAACACAGGCCGUGUACUGCGGGUCCCUUCCCGGGAGAGCAGAGGACUUGGCGGGAGCGGGCGGCCGGCCAGUCCUUUCCGGAUGAAGAUGCAGAGAUUUUCACCGCCGAUGCUUUUCUAAAGUUGUUCACUGGUCCUCCUCUACGUGAAAGAUGGGACAAGUUGGCAACUUCUCUUGAAAAAAAUGUGGGCCGUGCUUCUUUUUCCGGAAAGAGUUCAUAGUUUCCUAUCAGCAGCAUUUUAUAGGGAGAUCAUGAAGCCAGUCGUCCAGACGCCGGGUUCUCGGCGGGUCAUUCCUCUUACGAGACACCUUGAACUGUCAGAUGUAACUAGUCUUCAAAGAAUGCAGAACUCUUAGGAGGACGACGGCCCUUCCUUCCAAGAUGUUUGUGAAAUUGCUGAGGGAUAAAGGGUUGAUGAACUUGAUAGAUUCUUCCCUGGAGAUGGAGGCAUUAAAUACUGACGCCAACCGUACAGCCAAAUGUGGAGCAAUAAACACUCUCCCUUGA